UAGACCGCCUGGGGAGUACGGCCGCAAGGUUAAAACUCAAAUGAAUUGACGGGGGCCCGCACAAGCGGUGGAGCAUGUGGUUUAAUUCGAUGCAACGCGAAGAACCUUACCUGGUCUUGACAUCCACGGAAAUUUUCAGAGAUGAGAAUGUGCCUUCGGGAACCGUGAGACAGGUGCUGCAUGGCUGUCGUCAGCUCGUGUUGUGAAAUGUUGGGUUAAGUCCCGCAACGAGCGCAACCCUUAUCCUUUGUUGCCAGCGGUCCGGCCGGGAACUCAAAGGAGACUGCCAGUGAUAAACUGGAGGAAGGUGGGGAUGACGUCAAGUCAUCAUGGCCCUUACGACCAGGGCUACACACGUGCUACAAUGGCGCAUACAAAGAGAAGCGACCUCGCGAGAGCAAGCGGACCUCAUAAAGUGCGUCGUAGUCCGGAUUGGAGUCUGCAACUCGACUCCAUGAAGUCGGAAUCGCUAGUAAUCGUGGAUCAGAAUGCCACGGUGAAUACGUUCCCGGGCCUUGUACACACCGCCCGUCACACCAUGGGAGUGGGUUGCAAAAGAAGUAGGUAGCUUAACCUUCGGGAGGGCGCUUACCACUUUGUGAUUCAUGACUGGGGUGAAGUCGUAACAAGGUAACCGUAGGGGAACCUGCGGUUGGAUCACCUCCUUACCUUAAAGAAGC
rnacentral:rRNA from 1 species